AACGAACGCUGGCGGCAGGCCUAACACAUGCAAGUCGAGCGCGCCCUUCGGGGUGAGUGGCGGACGGGUGAGUAACGCGUGGGAACGUGCCCUUCUCUGCGGAAUAGCCCCGGGAAACUGAGAGUAAUACCGCAUACGCUCUUCGGGGGAAAGAUUUAUCGGAGAAGGAUCGGCCCGCGUUGGAUUAGGUAGUUGGUGGGGUAAUGGCCCACCAAGCCGACGAUCCAUAGCUGGUUUGAGAGGAUGAUCAGCCACACUGGGACUGAGACACGGCCCAGCCUCCUACGGGAGGCAGCAGUGGGGAAUCUUAGACAAUGGGGGCAACCCUGAUCUAGCCAUGCCGCGUGAGUGAUGAAGGCCUUAGGGUUGUAAAGCUCUUUCAGCUGGGAAGAUAAUGACGGUACCGGCAGAAGAAGCCCCGGCUAACUCCGUG
rnacentral:rRNA from 1 species